rnacentral:rRNA from 1 species
AGAGUUUGAUCAUGGCUCAGGAUGAACGCUAGCGGCAGGCCUAACACAUGCAAGUCGAACGGUCCUUCCCGCAAGGGAAGGAUAGUGGCGAACGGGUGAGUAACGCGUAAGUAACCUGCCCCUAAGUAAGGAAUAACUCCGAGAAAUUGGAGCUAAUACCGUAUGUGAUGGUGGAGGUAGUGCUCCAUCAUUAAAGCCUUCGGGCGCUUGGGGAGGGGCUUGCGUCCGAUUAGCUAGUUGGUAGAGUAAGGGUCUACCAAGGCGACGAUCGGUAGCUGGUUUGAGAGGACGGCCAGCCACACUGGGACUGAGACUCGGCCCAGACUCCUACGGGAGGCAGC